AAUAAAGAAAAACUCUCAGAACUCUCACAGAGAGCUGAAAUGUUCAUAACUAUCAAAUAGAAGUUAACUACAUGUACUAAACUGAAGAAGUGUAAUCUUUUUAACUUUGCUUAAAAUGCUGCUGAUCCUUUGUUUUGCUUUUCAGAGUUAAGAAUACUUUUGAGCUAUUUACAACUUUUAGCAAUUGAGUAAAAUAUCCUCCUGUGAACAAAAUUUGGAGCAUAUUUGUUUCUCUCUGCCUGACUUCUCCAAAAUUUGGAAACUAUUUCUUGUUUUAAAGCACAGGUCUAGUGAGUUUCCGAGUAGAGGAACGCUGAUCAGCUUCUGCCACCUUGUGGCCACGCAAAGUAACACUCUGUGCCUGCAGGAGAAAGCCAGGGUGGUUCCUCUCCAGGUAAACCUUGCAAUGGCUCUGAGGCGCUGGGAGAAGGGAUCACGUCUGGCCCAACUACAAACGUCAGAAACGAUCUUCUUAAAGAGAAAAGUGGCUUCGUGGUUCCCAUUAGUUUUGCUGACUGCACUGUGAAAGCAAAAUUUAUACACAGAAGUGGAACAGAGAGCAUAAAAUAACCCUUUGAGCUGUCUAAAGUCAUACCAAAUAUUUUAAGUAAAAAUAGAAUAAAUGAAUUUGAUGCACAGAAACCAAUAAAUUCAAAACAAAUCAGA